rnacentral:rRNA from 1 species
GGGUAAUGGGCCUACCAAGGCGACGACGGGUAGCCGGCCUGAGAGGGUGACCGGCCACACUGGGACUGAGACACGGCCCAGACUCCUACGGGAGGCAGCAGUGGGGAAUCUUGCGCAAUGGGCGAAAGCCUGACGCAGCAACGCCGCGUGGGGGAUGAAGGCCUUCGGGUUGUAAACCUCUUUCACCAUCGACGAAGCCCUUUGGGGUGACGGUAGGUGGGGAAGAAGCACCGGCUAACUACGUGCCAGCAGCCGCGGUAAUACGUAGGGUGCGAGCGUUGUCCGGAUUUAUUGGGCGUAAAGAGCUCGUAGGCGGUUUGUCGCGUCGGCCGUGAAAACCUACAGCUUAACUGUGGGCUUGCGGUCGAUACGGGCAGACUUGAGUUCGGCAGGGGAGACUGGAAUUCCUGGUGUAGCGGUGAAAUGCGCAGAUAUCAGGAGGAACACCGGUGGCGAAGGCGGGUCUCUGGGCCGAUACUGACGCUGAGGAGCGAAAGCGUGGGGAGCGAACAGGAUUAGAUACCCUGGUAGUCCACGCCGUAAACGGUGGGCGCUAGGUGUGGGGACUG